AUAAUAAUAUAAUAAUAAUAAUAACAACAGAAAUUAAGAUAUGUAAGAGAUUGAUAGGCCGAAAGGUAGCCUCCAAUCCAAUGAUCACACAAAUGAAGUUUCAUAGGGGAACUCUCGAGUAUCUGUCACCACAAAUGCAAGAAUGUUGAAUCUUUGAGGAGCACAUGGCCACAGUAAUUGCAGCCUUUUCUUUGCUCUGUGCUCCCUGACUCUACAUCAUUACAUGUGGAAAAGGGUAUCCAUAUUUGCCAAUGCACCCUUGACAAGCCCACCAUCAAUUCCUGCGAACAAAGUGUCUAUUUGAACAAUUGGACUACUCUUGGCUCCUGUUUCUGGAGACCCAUCUUUUUCUUUGGCUUGUCAACCCACCAUAGGAAGAGAAUAGCCCUUUGCUUCUUGUCAGAAAAUCUGGAAAAACAUUUAUAGUGUUCCUCCACAGCAUCAAAGAACGUGAAUGUUUUCAAGUUCAAGUUCCUCUUGUCCAGGCUAAACACCCUGAAAGCAAUGGCAAUAUCAUUUCUCAAUUUUAUAAGAGCUGCUUCAAUAAUUGCUAUUGAAGAAGCUUUCUCAUCAUCCUUGUCAAUUAUCCCAGCUCUAGGAGCCUCUACCAAAUCAUGGUGUAUUAAUCCUCCUGCAUUAAUGGAUUUCACAGAGGAUCGCCUAUUUCUUCUAUUCGUGGUCAGAAGUAGAUCCAACGGUAGUGAAGCAGAACCAUCAAUACGCAGUGCAAUAAUCUGAUGGGAAGAUGGCGAAUCAAGAAAUGGAUGAUGUUGAGCAGCCAUGAUCAGACAAUAGGCAAGCUUUCUUCUUCCUCCGUCGGUUGUUGUUCUUCAGUUUCCA
rnacentral:misc_RNA from 1 species